UACGUAGGGCGCAAGCGUUGUCCGGAAUUAUUGGGCGUAAAGAGCUCGUAGGCGGCCUGUUGCGUCCGCUGUGAAAUCCCGGGGCUCAACCCCGGGCCUGCAGUGGAUACGGGCUGGCUGGAGGCAGGCAGGGGAGAACGGAAUUCCGGGUGUAGCGGUGGAAUGCGUAGAGAUCCGGAAGAACACCGGUGGCGAAGGCGGCCUGCUGGGCUAUGGCUGACACUGAGGCGCGACAGCGUGGGGAGCAAACAGGG
rnacentral:rRNA from 1 species